rnacentral:rRNA from 1 species
CAGUCGAACGAGAAAGUCCUUCGGGAUGAGUACAGUGGCGCACGGGUGAGUAACACGUAGGUGACCUGCCUAUUAGCGGGGGAUAACACGAAGAAAUUCGUGCUAAUACCGCAUACGCAAAGUGAAUUUGGAAGUAGCUUUGGAAAGAAUGCCUCUCCUUGGAAGCAUUUACUAAUAGAUGGGCCUGCGUAGCAUUAGCUUGAUGGUGGGGUAACGGCCUACCAUGGCGACGAUGCUUAACUGGUCUGAGAGGAUGAUCAGUCACACUGGAACUGAGACACGGUCCAGACUCCUACGGGAGGCAGCAGUGGGGAAUAUUGCGCAAUGGGCGAAAGCCUGACGCAGCAAUGCCGCGUGAGUGAGGAAGGCCUUCGGGUUGUAAAGCUCUGUCAUAUGGAAAGAAUGGUCAUUGUUCUAACAGGGCAGUGAUUUGACGGUACCAUAAAAGGAAGCACCGGCUAACUUCGUGCCAGCAGCCGCGGUAAUACGAAGGGUGCAAGCGUUGUUCGGAUUUAUUGGGCGUAAAGCGCGCGCAGGCGGACUAUUAAGCCAGAUGUGAAAUCUCGGGGCUCAACCCCGAAACUGCGUCUGGAACUGGUAGUCUAGAAUCUUGGAGGGGGAAGCGGAAUUUCGCAUGUAGGGGUAAAAUCCGUAGAGAUGCGAAGGAACACCAGAGCCGAAGGGGGCUUCCUGGCCAAGUAUUGACGCUGAGGCGCGAAAGCGUGGGGAGCAAACAGGAUUAGAUACCCUGGUAGUCCACGCCGUAAACGAUGUGCACUAGAUAUUGGAGACUUGA